rnacentral:rRNA from 1 species
GUUCCCGGGUCUUGUACUCACCGCCCGUCACACCAUGGGAGUUGUGUUUGCCUUAAGUCAGGAUGCUAAAUUGGCUACUGCCCACGGCACACACAGCGACUGGGGUGAAGUCGUAACAAGGUAACCGUAGGUGAACCUGCGGUUGGAUCACCUCCUUUCUAGA